GAGAUAACCAAGUUAAUAAAAAACAAUGAAGAAUUCCUAAUCAUACCGACAGUAUUAAAGAAUGAAGUCUUCAAAAUUAACAGAAUAACCGAACUCCACUACCUACCCCAUAAUGCGAGGUUUACAGUAAUUAUUCAACUUACAUGAAGCAGUCAGAAAGUUUAUUGAGAUUUGAGAAAUAAAGUUACACUCAUAAGUAGCAAAACAGUGGAUGAAGAAGUGUGGGAUUAUGAGUGAUUAUUUCAUUCUAAAGCAGACAUAAUCAAGUCUUGCUCACUAUCAUGAAAAUUUACAAUAACAAUCAGCAAGAAAAACUUCAAGGGUACUGGCUAGGCUAACCAAUUCAUGGAAUUCUGUUUGUAUUUGAAAUUAUAAAUAGCUAUUGUAAAACAAAAGUUUUCCAAAUAAAGAUUUUGUAAAUAAUGGUUGAAUUAUUUUGAAAUUACACUGCAAUAAUGAAUUUAUUGCCUGCGUCCAGCGCCUUUCUGCUACCAUUAUGAUGUCGUCGGUCCACCUUGUGGGUGGACGUCCCACGCUGCGUAUUCCGGUACCCGGCCUCCACCCCAGAACCUUGCUGCCCCAUCGGGCAACAUGGAAAGCAUUGGGGGAGGCCUAAGUUCAGCAGUGGACGUCCUAUGGCUGAGAUGAUGAUGAAUUUAUUAUAAUGGAAUAAAUUGUACAAGAUUAUCAUCCUGUCACAUUAAAGCCCUUAAAAAAGACCACAUGGAGGAAUUAGAUUGAUAGUAAUGUGGAAUGUAUGUAUGGUAUCACCAUCAAGUUAUAAAAUUAGUAAAAUUCAUUUAUUCUCAUUGUUAUUAUAGCAAGUUUGAUUACACAUCCCACCCAAUGCUAAUUUCUGACAAUGACCUUGCCACUGUUUGAUGUAGACACAAGAAGCUCGGUCACCACAUUCCGCCCCAUUUUCAAUAAUUUUACAAGAUUAUGUACAGAUGACAGUAGGUACUUAAAUCAAGCUAAACACUGUGGGGUAUCUCACGACAUUUGCAACUUAAUAUGUAUUGUCUGAUGUACUGUUGACUGCCUACCUAAGUAGGUAAGUAAUGGUUAUUUUACAAGGUAGGUAAUGUAAUAAUUAAUAUGUGGGUGGGACUGUGGGAGCACUAAGAUUUUGCAGCUAGCGAUUAUAAACUGUCGCAAGAUUCGCCUCACACUGAUAAACUCUUGAACUAGAACUCAAUCUCCACCUAGAAGUAAAAGUAUCACAAAGGUGCUAGAUUCCUUUCUUUGAAUUUUACUAGCCUCAAAUUAGUCGUAAAAUGUCAUUUACCAUUAUAAAUGAUAAAUAAAUAGAGUUAAAGUAGCUUGCAAAAAAGUUAAUCUCCUAUCGUCUUGCUAUCGUGGGCAAGGAUCGAGGACGAUAAAAACACCACAUCCUAUCCUAUCG